CAUCCGGCGUCUCUCUGACUGCUCGUUGUGACGGCAAGGGUUAAAAACACGAACAGAAAGCCUUUUAAAUAAACACUUCUCUGUGUUUAUUAUCUACGUAAACCAGUAGGUGAAGUUACUACGAGCACACGACUGGAAGUCACCGGCCACGCGUUAACACCUGCGCGUUGAUGAACGGAAGCCCGAGGAGCUCAGUUCAGCCAUCAUUCUCAUCUGGGAUCAUCAACAACAGCCAAGGGGACCAAGGAAGGGCCCUCCCCGCCUCCGCCUCAUUCCUCCCCUCCACCCCUCAGAUCUCCAAUCCUCCAAGGAGCUGACAGCUCGAAAGAUCCGCGAGCCUGCGUCUCCUCCACCUGCACAACCUCAUUUCCCCAUCAUAACAACAACAACAAAGGGUUUUCAGCCUGAAGUGGGUCAGCGUUUAAAUGGAUCUGCUUCCCAUUUGAGGGCCCUCAGCCGUCGCCAUGCCUAAUGACAGAGGGCACGGGAUUCCUCUCCCUUUCUAAGUCUGAGAAAUCUCACCAUGGAAGGACCAGCUACCACAGACAGGGCUGUGCAACUGCAGAUUGCGGGGUUACAGGGCUUGCCUUUACAUCCAUGCAAACUAAUGAGCAGUAUGUCUUGAUAUGCUGGAAGAGAUACCCCGUGGAGUUUUUCUUGUAAACAAGGACAGUUAUGUUUAGUCGGUGUUUCUCACCAAAGCGUAUAGUGUUGUAUCAUGAGGCCCUAACGAACCUGUUCAAUGCAUUUCUUUCCACAUUUAACAUUUGAAAAGCCAAUAACCUUGAAUAUUAAAAUGUACAUUGCCAAGUGA